UACGUAGGGGGCUAGCGUUGUCCGGAAUCAUUGGGCGUAAAGAGCGUGUAGGCGGCCCGGUAAGUCCGUUGUAAAAGUCGAAGGCUCAACCUUCGAAAGCCGAUGGAUACUGCCGGGCUAGAGUACGGAAGAGGCGAGUAGAAUUCCUGGUGUAGCGGUGGAAUGCGCAGAUAUCAGGAGGAAUACCCAUAGCGAAGGCAGCUCGCUGGGACGUUACUGACGCUGAGGCGCGAAAGCGUGGGGAGCGAACAGG
rnacentral:rRNA from 1 species